GGGUGCUGUUCAGCGGCUUGAUGAACAGACUGUUGUUCUUCAGCCGGACGUCGCCUUUGGCCGUCGUCAUUUCACCAUCGAGCGGAAUAUCCAGAUGUAAGCGAGCGCUUACAUCGCCAUCAAGCUGAAGUUCUUCCAGCGUGGCGCCUAAAGAUUCUUUAAGCGGCGUGUCGUUAAAGUACGGCCCGACCGCUUUUCCCGGCCCGCUGAUAUCGGCAUCGAUCAGCAGUUUUUCCUUCAGGUAAUCGGGGAUCACCGCCCGCAGAUUACGGCCUUUAACGCCGCCCAGACUGACUUCGUCGGUCUUCAUCCACAGGCCGUCAUUAAGGAAAUCCAGCUCCAUAUCGAGAUUUUUAAGCGCCGGCCAGCCAGGCUGGAAUGCAAAGGUGGCGUUACGCAGCGGCAC
rnacentral:ncRNA from 1 species